rnacentral:rRNA from 1 species
AUGAACGCUGGCGGCGUGCCUAAUCCAUGCAAGUCGCGCGAACGGACGAGAAGCUUGCUUCUCUGAUGUUAGCGGCGGACGGGUGAGUAACACGUGGAUAACCUACCUAUAAGACUGGGAUAACUUCGGGAAACCGGAGCUAAUACCGGAUAAUAUUUUGAACCGCAUGGUUCAAAAGUGAAAGACGGUCUUGCUGUCACUUAUAGAUGGAUCCGCGCUGCAUUAGCUAGUUGGUAAGGUAACGGCUUACCAAGGCAACGAUGCAUAGCCGACCUGAGAGGUUGAUCGGCCACACUGGAACUGAGACACGGUCCAGACUCCUACGGGAGGCAGCAGUAGGGAAUCUUCCGCAAUGGGCGAAAGCCUGACGGAGCAACGCCGCGUGAGUGAUGAAGGUCUUCGGAUCGUAAAACUCUGUUAUUAGGGAAGAACAUAUGUGUAAGUAACUGUGCACAUCUUGACGGUACCUAAUCAGAAAGCCACGGCUAACUACGUG